rnacentral:rRNA from 1 species
AUACGGAGGAUCCGAGCGUUAUCCGGAUUUAUUGGGUUUAAAGGGUGCGCAGGCGGCCAUUUAAGUCAGCGGUUAAAUCGUGGGGCUCAACCCCAUUCUGCCGUUGAUACUGGGUGGCUUGAUUGCGGUCGAGGUUGGCGGAAUUCGUUGUGUAGCGGUGAAAUGCAUAGAUAUGACGAAGAACACCGAUUGCGUAGGCAGCUGACCAGACCGCAAAUGACGCUCAUGCACGAAAGUGCGGGGAUCGAACAGGAUUAGAUACCCUGGUAGUCCGCACAGUAAACGAUGAAUACUUGUUUUCGGCGAUAUAAUGUCGGAGGCAAAGCGAAAGCGAUAAGUAUUCCACCUGGGGAGUGCGCCGGCAACGGUGAAACUCAAAUGAAUUGACGGGG